ensembl:lincRNA
AUGAUCACGCUUUCCACUCCUUCUUUUGUCAUUUUUCUGACUCUGGCUCUAAUUCUAAUAUUCCCAGUACAUUGGUACAAAUCUGGAAUGUGGUAUGUUAAUAUCUCUGUUACUUUUUCCCUCACAGUAACCGACUAUACUACUGGAAGAGUUGGAGCUCCUCUUAUUUGCUGUGAAAUUAAGCUAAAAGACUGGCAGGAAGGUGGUUAUACAAUUAAUGACAAGCCAAACCCCAGAGGUGAAAUCGUAAUUGGUGGACAGAACAUCUCCAUGGGAUAUUUUAAAAAUGAAGAGAAAACAGCAGAGGAUUAUUCUGUGGAUGAAAAUGGACAAAGGUGGUUUUGCACUGGUGAUAUUGGAGAAUUCCAUCCCGAUGGAUGUUUACAGAUUAUAGAUCGUAAGAAAGAUCUAGUGAAGUUACAAGCAGGAGAAUAUGUAUCUCUUGGGAAAGUAGAAGCUGCACUGAAGAAUUGUCCACUUAUUGAUAACAUCUGUGCUUUUGCCAAAAGUGACCAGUCCUAUGUGAUCAGUUUUGUGGUUCCUAAUCAGAAAAGGUUGACACUCUUGGCACAACAGAAAGGGGUAGAAGGAACUUGGGUUGAUAUCUGCAAUAAUCCUGCUAUGGAAGCUGAAAUACUGAAAGAAAUUCGAGAAGCUGCAAAUGCCAUGAAAUUGGAGCGAUUUGAAAUUCCAAUCAAGGUUCGAUUAAGCCCAGAGCCAUGGACCCCUGAAACUGGUUUGGUAACUGAUGCUUUCAAACUGAAAAGGAAGGAGCUGAAGAACCAUUACCUCAAAGACAUUGAACGAAUGUAUGGGGGCAAAUAAAAUGCUCUCUUAUUGACAGUUGUGCAGGAGGUAGCCUGGUGGUUUUUCACUUCUAGAAUAUUAAGCCUUUGUUGAGCUGUUAGAAUGUAAGGUAUAUCAUUCUAAAGAUACAGUAAAAAGCAAACAAAACCAAAAGUUAUUAAAUUUGUUGUCCAGUUUACUUUAACUUAGUUUUGCAUAGUUCUAGUGCAGCUGAAAUUGAAAAGUUAUUUCCCUUUAGCUGUGUUAUUAUAGAGCAGAAUUUUGUUUUAAAAUUAGCCUAAGAUAUACUUGUUGUUGUAAAGAAAAAUUUUAAUGUUGAACAAAAUAAAUCGGAGUUGGAGUAGAAUGUAGUUUGAGGAAAUUUGCAGCUUCCAAUGCCUCUUGUCUUCCUAUUUCAGAAGAAGUUUAAAUAUUAAGCAUGACAGAAAAUAUGUAUUAACACUACUCAAAGCAAAAGUGCUGCAGGGCUUUAAAAUUCUCUUCCAACCAUUUAUCUUGAAGGAAAAAUUCAAUAGUAAUAUAAUACACAAAAUCAAAUAAUACCUUAGAAGGUAUUAAGAUUAUAAUUGUUGCAUAGGUUAGAUAUAGAGUCAUUGUAAUGUUGUGAAUAAUUACAGUGCCUAAAGUAAGAAUAAAACAACAUAUACAACACCAAAAAAUAUCUAGUAAUAUAUUUAAAGCGAAAUUGAGCUGCUUUUUUGAAACUUUGAGAUCUAAAAUAACUGUAAUUAUUUGAAUGACUUAAGAGGAAAGUACAUUUUUUGAAAUGCUGAAAAUUGCCUUUCUGUGUUUAUUCAAACUGAAAAGCUGAGACCAAGAGCAAAAUGACAGGAAGGUAAAAAGUUAACAGGCAAACAUUUUCUCUUAGAAAAGAUGAUAAAAUCGUAAGUAUUUGGAAUUAGAAGCCUUGCACAACACUGAACCUGGGAAAGAGAUUUAAACUCUGAAUUUAUCUUUGAUAACAGGGAUUGAUUUUAAAAUGUACAUGUAGUAAAUUACAUUUGUAAUUUAAGGUCUGUUUGCUGUUGCUGAUUUGAUUCUUGAUCAGUAGUUUGCAUUUCAGGAAGCCUUUCAUUUUGCUUUAAUUUUAGCAAAGCGGGUUAUAACGAAUGACUUCCCCAAUAUCUUGCUCGAACUUACAGGUGAUUAACUUGGAUGAGUUUUGGGAAGUUAAAGGGAAGAAAACACUGUUACCAUUUUUUCCUGUUUGGGAAGAGCUUAGAAACUGGAAAUACUAGAUUUGGGAGAAGGGCAGAGUUACUUGAUAAGGGACUGAUCUUUGUGCAGUAACUUGGGAGUGUGGUUUCUUUUUGAAUCUUUAAUUAAAACCUGGGAUUAUAUAUCCCUGAUAAAUAUUCACACUUGAACCAUAGUUACUGUAAAACACAAAAAAUCUUAAUACUGUUACUCUUUGCACUUUUUCUUAAUCAUUUUAUAUAUAUAUAUGCAUAUAUACAUAUAUAUGUGUGUGUGUGUGUGUGUGUGAGUUGCUUAUGUUGUUAUGUACAGAUGUGGGCCACCAUUGCAACAAAAUAAAUUCUUUUUGCUCUAAAAUAUUUAUAAAGAAAAUACUUAAAUGUUAUGCAUAUGGUGGUAAUAAGGGAAAAAUCAAGUAUUAUAAACAAGAAUGAAGGUUUUUGUAAAGAUUUCUGUUCAGUGUUUUGCAAGGUAAAAUUUUAGGCAAGUUUUCCCUGAAGUUAUGUGUAUGUGAGUAUUCUCAUUCUUCCCAACUUGCCUUUGAAGAGUGAAAAACCAUUAUGAUCAAGUAGACUACUAUUCAGCUUUUAUUCCUGCCCUGCUGUUUACCCAUUAAGAAUGAGUUUCUUAGACUUUUCCAAUAUGUGAUUUUUUUUUCCCAUUUAGAAUGGUGAUUUUAAAUGUGUGAGUGCAUGCACUGUCUUAUCUCAGAUAUUUGCACCCCCGAUCCGCCCCCGACUCCCAAAAGCUGGAACACUGCCAACUGAUCUGUUAUAUAGGUCCUGUAGAAACACAUCAUUAACACUUAAGGUUGGGUGCUGCUAAUUCUUUGCAAAAAUCCAAACAUUGUUAAGGGACCAGGGAGAUGCCACUACCCCUUGAUUUUCCAUCUAAAAAUAUACAUAUUUAUGUAAGCAAAUCUUUCCAUAUUCAUAGUGACUUUUCAAGUAUUUAAGACUAAAGAUUUUGAUCUCACAUUUUUAUACUGUUUAAAUUGCUCACAAUUAUUACAUACAUGUCAGCCAUCAAAUAAAGUUGUACUUUAAAAAUUUACUACAAUAUGGACAUUUCUAAGUCAAACACUUGUGACUUUUGCUUUAAUUCCGUGAAUGUUCCUGCCUCCUUGAUAUUUGUAUUUAUUCUUUUUUUCUCUAGAGUGGAGGUAUAAUUGUGUGAUAUUUCAGAAAUACAGAUACAUGAUUCAAAAAGUCACAGUUAAGGAGAUUCAUGUUUCUUUGAUCAUGAAUAACUGGUUAGUGAUUCUUGCCUAUAUUUUCCUGAUAGCAUAUGACAAAUGUUUCUAAGGUAACAAGAUGAGAACAGAUAAAGAUUGUGUGGUGUUUUUGAUUUGGAGAGAAAUAUUUUAAUUUUUCAAUGCAGUUACAAAUUAUAAUGUAUUCAUAUUUGUACUUUCUGUUAAAAUGCACGAUUGCAGAAUUGUUGAGAUUUUGUGUUUAUUCUUGAUGAAAAGCUUUGUUCUUGUUUUUAAGUUUGCACUCAAAUCUUAAGAAAUAAAUUCACCCAUGUUAUCAAGCCA